CACCGGGGGACGCCGAACUACGUGUGGUUACGGAAGUAGCUGCCUCCUGCUACACCUCUUCCUCCGCGCCCGCGCCCGGCUCUCUGCCCGGUGCCCCGUUUACUCCCAUUUACCAAGCCGUCCUUCUCUGUAUGAUUUCUGUUAAAUAGAAAAGGUCUCCAAACCGUGCUUUGGAAUGCUGCCUUGGAGCCACUCGGAAACCUUCAGGGUUUUGCCCUGGCCAGCCUCGUGGAGAGGAUCUCGGGCAGAGGGAGGUGACGGCCUCUGUUGAAGGUCUAAAUACCUAAGGGUCCUGGUCUUGUGCUGUAAUUAAUACGUUUUACUACUCCAAGAAAACACAGUUCUCUAUGUUAAUAGGCCUGGGCCGAAGGAGUCCAACAGAGCUUCCUCUGGUUUCCGCCACCCCAUUGACGGCUGUCACUUUCUGAAUGAGAAUGAACCUGGACUGGCAUAAAUGAGAUCUCCAAGCAGAGCCUCCUGGGAAGGAGCCUUAUUUUUUCCUUUUCUUCUUUUUCUUUUCCUUUCCUUGGAAUACCCGUUGAAAAGCUGCAGCGACUAUUCUGUAAUGGCGGGAAGAGCUCUGCUUAACUUUUUCAUUAAAGUCUACUUACCUGGAAAAAUAAAGUCUUUUAAGGACCAUGACUACA